CAAGUUUCCAAUGAAUUAAGACGUGCAGUGUUGUUUUUAAAUAAAGAGGUUUACUACAAAGAAGAAUUAAUAAAAAGUGAUGAAGAAAUGGUCACAGUAGAUGUAGUGUAAGAUUUGGUGGUGGUAGAUUUUAAGUUGACUGUGAAUAGUGUGGAUAUAGAAGGGAAAGAUAUUAUUGCACAUCACACCACAUUGCCAAUUCAUCAUCGUCCACAAUGUUUUGGCUACUACUGUUCCUAAGCAUACCUGGUAGGUCGAACCAAGUGGGUAUAGUGGGCAAUCCACUAGCCCACGCUCGUCCCUGUUCAGACAAUACUGACAUAAUAGCCUCUUUUGAAUCCGGCUUACCACCAGGUGAAGAGAAUCAGUACUAUUUAAACAUAAAUGGGAACAUACAGAAGCAUUCGCAAAUUAAUUUGAAGUUUGAUUCGGAUGCUACUGUUACUUUGUCAGAUCCAAUGAAGGCCCGAAUAACUGCGUCUACAAAUACAAAUGAUUUUAACGUGAGAUUCUUCAAAGGAUCUUCUCAUCUAAAUAUCCAUGUCAGAGGCCCAGCCACAGGCACCAUACCAUACGUCCAAAGCAUUAUACUAGACAAUGACGAAAUAUGUAACAAACCAACAUCUGGUUAUUUCGACUCACUCAUCCAAGGCGUGAAAGAUACAGCGGAGAUCACCCUGACAGUACCUGCUGAUGAAUCGUGUGGAAGGCGUAAGGUGGUACAUACAGAGCUGAUAGUCCACGGCCAGCCCACCAAGUCUGGAGACUGGCCCUGGCAUGUGGCUUUGUUCACAGUUCAAGGAAAUAUCGUCAAGUAUAUAUGUGGAGGGACUUUGCUGUCUAAGACUUUGGUUUUGACAGCUGCCCAUUGUGCAUCAGUUAGAGGCAACGCAGUGGUUCCUGAAUCUUUGAGCGUUGUUCUUGGGAAACAUAAUCUUAUUGGUGGAGAUAUAGCUCCGCAAGAGAGGGAGGUAUUCGAAAUCAUUCUUCACAAGGACUUUGACCCAAGAUCAUUGAACAACGACAUAGCUCUAUUGAAAUUGAAGUCCGAGGCAGUAUUUGAUGACUACGUUCAGCCAGCUUGCUUGUGGCAGUCCAGUCUCUACAAGAAACUGCCAAGUGGUGGCAUUUAUGGAUCGGUGGUAGGAUGGGGAUUCGACCAUCAAGACAUAUUAUCGACCACUCUGCAACAAAUAACUAUACCUAUCGUAUCGGAGGCGAAAUGUUUGAAGAGCAACCCAAUAUUCUUUCAUAAUAAACUUAAUACUAACAAGUUCUGUGCUGGAUUUGCUAAUGGGACGUCAGCCUGCAAUGGUGACAGUGGAGGUGGUCUGGUGAUCUUCGUGCCAGAUGUCCCCGGCGCCAAGACCCAAGAGUCUGGAGCUUGGCACGUCCGUGGCAUUGUAUCCACAACAGUCAGUCGGACUGACGCACCCAUAUGUGAUCCUAAUCAGAGCGCCAAGCACGAAUAACUAUCGCAUUCGUAAUGUAAACGUAUCGAGAUGACGAUACGUCAUGAGACGUUAACGGAGUGUGGCAGCACGAAGCCUAUUCUUUCAACUAUCGAGAGCUCGCAUCGAAUUCGAUAGUGACGUCAUGCUAAUGUAAACUAGAGAAGCAGCCAAGUGAACGAUUUGAAUGACUUAUUGAGCAUAAAGAUUUCGUCUGAAAACUAAAUCAAAUUUUAAAUAUAUUUCAAUCUUUGUCUACACGUUUUAUGACAUAAUAUUUAUUAAAUAAAUAUUAAUUAUGUGCAAAAAGUUCUUAAAGCGAGUUAAGAGAAAUAUAACGUGACAUUAUCUAUGAAAAAAAAAUAAGUACUUAGUUUCAUAAAUUUAUCAUUUUUUUAUGAUUUCCGAACGUCGUAUUUGACAUUUGUCAUUUGCCGGUUGUUUGUUUGUUAUUUUAUCUUAUGUAAAUAAAUAACAAUUUUAACAUGUUACAUUUAAAAUGAGGACGAUUCAACUCCAAUAUGAGCUAAUGGUGGAAUUUAUGCAAAAAUUGGAAUAUUUGUGGGACCAGUCCAAUAUUACUGGGAGCAGUGGGCCUACUGUAUUCCUACCACACCACUCACUGUUCCUCACGAAGCCUACCCUUCGCCAGCGCCUCCACCAACACCACCGAUCCUCCAUCCGAGGAAGAUAGCUGGAAUCCUCCACCAGUGAAAAAACCUAAAGCGAGUUUGAUUAAAAUGUGUAUAGAGAAUGACAAGAAUGCUAUGCUAGGGAGUGUGAGAAAAGUUAUUAUUUUUUAUUAGUUGAUUAUUUUUUGUUACUUACUGUUAAUUUUAUAUUUAUUUCAAUUUUUCUGUUUUUAUGUUAUUUUAAAAUAUUAUCAAAAUAUUGUUAAUGGCAUUGUAUUUAUAAUAAUUAUUCUAACUGUGUCAAUACUGUGAAUGUGGUGCAUGUCUAUAAUUGGCAUAAGCACAUGAUCUUGUGUCUUCAUCUUGUUUUUCAUUAAUGUCUUAUAAUAAUAAAUAAAUAAAUUAUAUAUUAUUGGGAUUAAGAUUAGAAUAAAAUAGUUUUUAAGUUAUUUAUAUAUGUAUAUACAUUUUAUUAACUAUAAAAAGAGGAUUUUGUAGAAAAAAGUAAUAAAACACUUGAAAUAACUA